UUUUCACAGCCAGCCUUCUCCAGAAAAGUCUUUGACUCCUUCUCCCUGGGAUUGGUUAAUGGGCAUGUGCUAUAUAGCAAAGGCUGGAGGUUAAGUUUUAUCUCUAUUUGCUUGGUGUUCUUGCUGGGAUUAAAGCACCUGGAGUUCUGCUACUAGUGGCUUGCAGCACUGCUUCAUCUUCAUCUAUCGGAGCAAAAUAAAAACCAAAAAAAGACUGCUUUUUAAAAAGCUUUCUGCUGUUCUCAAAUGACAAAAAGUGGAUUAUAGAAGUUGUCCCCAUAGUAGAAGCAGAAGUACUUGGAGAUGAUACCACGUUCAGCACUGAUGAGAUGUAAGGUCCAAUGUUCAUGUCUCAAAAUGAGAUGGGAGAGAAAGAACUGGGUCGCACAGAUGAUGUGAGACGAACAGACAUAGCAGAUGUUGUACAUCUAUCACACUUACACUCAUGCAGUAUGUGGAACCAGUCCUGUGAAAUGCUGUAUUUCAGUGGGAUUUGACAGUGCAAGCAGGCUCAGAAGUACCUCCUGAAACAAUGGAUAAAGUAGAAAACAUCAAAUUACUCCAGAGUUCCUGUGACUUGUAGGGUGGAAUGACUAGUGCAGAUUUCAGUCUGCCUAAAAUAAUUUUCUCUGCUGGAUGGAGCAGAUUAUUACAAGGAAAACCUCUCAAACCCAUUGCCAUCGUGCCAGUUUCAGUGGGAGAACCUGAUGACCUGAACCUCCUGACCAGUCAGGUGUUCCCACCUCUUAGGAGAAACAAAGCCCAAAAUUCUCAGUAGGAUGAAGAUUGUCAUUCUGUUCCAAUAAGCACACAGGGCAGCACAGAAGCAAAGAGACUGGGGUCUGAGAGUUACACAGACAAAGCAGAGGAAAGGAUGUGAGAAAACAGCAGAGCCAGCCACUGAAACCUCACAGACACCUGAAAGGAGGUUGUUUGUAGCCAGGUGAGGGAGAGCCAAUUCCCCCUGGCAGCCAGAGACAGGACGAGAGGACAUAGCCUUAAAUUGUGCAGGUGCUGGUUCAGGUUGGGCAUCAGGAGGAAUUCCUUCACUGAGAUGGCUGCUAAACAGUGGAAUGGGCUGGAAGUGUUUAAGGAAAGACUGGACACUGCACAUGGUGGUGGUGGUCACUCAAAGAUUGGACUUGGUAAUCUCAGAGGUUUUUUCCAACCUGAUUGAUUCUCUGUGGGUGACUGUGUGUAAGCUUGUGCAAGGCCAGCAAAAAAAGGACUGACUUCAUAACUUGAGGCAAAACUAGUAUGCCAAUAAUGUGCAUUCCUGCUUGCAGAAACUUCUGUAGCUAUUACAUCAGGUUGGAGAUUGCCAUGAGGUGAAUGAAUUUGGGGUCAGAGGGAAUAUGGCUACUUAAGUCUCUGAAAUACAUCAUCUUCAUCUCUGAAUCUGGGAAGAUUGCUGUGAGCAGCUUCUAUAGAGCAGAGCUGAUAGUCAUCUCACUGAGUCAAUACAAGUUCACCAGUUUAGAGAAGCUGAAGAUCAAUCUGAUACAUUUAUUUUUCUAAGUUUAUCUGUGUUUACCCUCACACCUCUUGCGUACCAUAUGAAUGUCCCAAGUGACAGAAAUCGUUGUAACAGAAAAUGGAAGAAAAGCUAUGGGCAAAAUAUAUGUUGAACUCUUUCUAGUAGGUUUAGGUAUACUGUAUUCUUGAAUAAAGCCACAGUAUGUUUUAAACCCAAAAUAUGACAUCUUCACUGAAAAAAAACCCCAAAACUAAGAAAAUUCUUCUGUCACUCUCCAUAUUUUAUUUUCAGGAAAUAAAUACAAUAGUCUUCUAAUAUGCAAGAGUAUUAUGCAUUAUGACUAUAACUUCAUACUGUACCUAUAUUAGUUCUAGGUGAUCUGCUUUCUAUCAGCUUCCAGGGCAAAGUGGUUUUGGGUGAUUUUUCCCCCCAUUAGUAUUUCCUAAAUUACAGUAAUCUAAUUCUUGCUAAUUGGUAUCUCAUUUGAAGAAUCUUUUCACAGCAGCUCCAGGACUCCUGAAGGUUGCAACUAUAUAAAAUAUUUGCUUAAACCAAGUUUUCAAAGUUUUUUUUGUCUAACCUUUUAAUUUUUUGUGUCUUGUAUUAUGAUUAUGAAAAUGCUCUGAUUAAUUUCUGAGCACUUAGUUUUUUCUCAUCCCUGCUGGGUCUUUGGUUUGUCGAAGGAAUUUCUGCACAGGAAAAGGUUACAUAAGAGGGCAAUCCAAAUUGUGGAUACUUUAUCUUACACACAAGUUUAUAAACUCAAAUUUGGAGACUAUGUUUUAAUUAUAGCCUUUUAAGUUUCUUUACCUUUCUUGAGAAGAUUAAUGUUUGAGAUUGUAAUGAAUAAUAUUUGAAUUAUUCAUUUUAAUUAAAAUUGAUCAUGAGAACUAAUUAAAAGACACGCAACUGGUUACUGGAAGCAUAGUUGGACUACUUUUCAAAAAUACCAUUUGGUGUUCAACAUUAGGCUCAUGUUGAUUUUAGAAAUUAUAUUCUAUAAAUAAUAAGGAGCUAUAAUUAAUUCUGCAUAAGAAUUUGGAAAUCUAAUCUUUCAUAAAAAGAUAUUGGGCAGUGCUAUAUGGUUUUGAAAAAUCAUGAGUUCUUUUUUCAUAUAAAGCUUUAUGCAGCACUCAAAAAUGUCAACUGAAAAAAGAUUUAAAAUGACCUUUUAAUUUCUUUUU